AUGGCGUUUCAUAAAUCUCAUUUAUUAAAACUCCGGGUUGCACCUUCGGAGACAGCUAAAUUUUGAAUUGCCAGAAAGGAGCUGUUCUGUUUAGUUGGAGGGAUGAAACCAGAAAAUUAAAUUGAGGGGUGCUAAAUUUUGAAUUGCCAAAACAAGUGGGCGGUGGUGAAUGUGGCUACUAUGUCACGCUGCAUGCUAGAUACUUAUUACAUUAGAAGGCAAAGAAACAUAUUUGGGCAGCAAUUUUGAAUGGCACUGAUAACAUGUUAAGCUUCUUUCAAUUUUGAAUGGUGCUCUUAAUUCAUCAUUGUUGCAGGUCAACGCUAGCAGAUCAAAGCGACAACUUCAAUUUUGUCUGGAGCCUUAGAACUAUCACAGUGGUAAGAGCAAAGGUUCAAUGUUGUGGUCAUUGAGCUUGCAAAACCCCUCACUGCUUACUACCAAGUAAUAGUAGUUCAAUGUAGUUAGUUAAGUUCAGUUUUCUUAUUAUUUAAAAGAUCAAACUGUUGGAGAAGAAAUGAGGUGUGUGAUUCAAUUGUGAAGGAAAUAAGUGUGAAGAAAUUUUCGAAAUUACUAAUGAUGGCAAGUGUGAUCGAAGUAUGUCUAUUUAUUUUCAAAAGCUUUGAUGUUUUGCUAGGAGAGAUUAGGCUCUUCUUUCACAAGGUUUCAUGAUUCUGCUUCUGAACAUAUAAACCAUUGUUGCAUAUCAUAAUUAUAGAAUCAUCUCAAUGAAAAUUCUUGAUUCUGUGCCACCUUAAAUAGGAUUUAGAGGCUGAAGUAGAUUAUGAUAUUCGUUGUCUAUUCUUACAAUUCUAGAAGAUUUGUGAGGAUCAUGAUAUAAUUGCAAUUACUCUGCUGUUUAAUAUAAAGUUGCAGAAAUUGAAGAAAGCAAUGCUUUAGCUCUUGCUCUUGCUAUAUUUCCACAUUGUAGGCUCAAAUGCUUGGGAUCGAGAAAACUUUGCCAAAUGUGAAUUGUGAAAUUUGAUGAUCAUCGACUAUUUUGCCUUGCAGGGACUGAACCCAAUCUGGAUCAAUUUUGAGUGAUAUUGGUGGGAUUUCAGUGGGCGGUAAAGGAUCGGAAAGGGCAUACCCAACAACAACUUGACGAGGUCCGCAUUGAAGUAGCCGACUACUUACAGACUCUGUUGUAGGUUCUGACCAGUUUCUUGAUUUUGAGUUAGUUUUAACCAACUUUUUUGUAGCAAUUAUGAACAAACAAGAAUACUAAUUGCUAGGCUAGCCU
rnacentral:lncRNA from 1 species